rnacentral:rRNA from 1 species
GCAAGUCGAACGAGAACGGAAUAUAGCUUGCUAUAUUUGUCAGCUAAGUGGCGCACGGGUGAGUAAUAUAUAGGUAACGUGCCCUAGAGAAGAGGAUAACAUUUGGAAACGAAUGCUAAUACUCUAUAUGCCUUUAAGUCAUAAGACUGCAAGGGAAAUAUUUAUAGCUCUAGGAUCGGCCUGUACGGUAUCAGCUUGUUGGUGAGGUAAUGGCUCACCAAGGCAAUGACACCUAACUGGUUUGAGAGGAUGAUC